UACGUAGGGUGCAAGCGUUGUCCGGAAUUAUUGGGCGUAAAGAGCUCGUAGGCGGUUUGUCGCGUCUGCUGUGAAAACUGGAGGCUCAACCUCCAGCCUGCAGUGGGUACGGGCAAACUAGAGUGGCGGUAGGGGAGAUUGGAAUUCCUGGUGUAGCGGUGGAAUGCGCAGAUAUCAGGAGGAACACCGAUGGCGAAGGCAGAUCUCUGGGCCGUAACUGACGCUGAGGAGCGAAAGCAUGGGGAGCGAACAGG
rnacentral:rRNA from 1 species